UGCCCCGCCCCGCCCCGCCCAGGUCCGGUGGCCGCAGCCCCUCCCGCCUCUGGCUCGGCCCUUCCCACCGAGUCGGCCGGCCUUGACUUCCCGCCAUCCUCCCCGUUUCCUCCCAGCAGUCCUGGGGUCUUUCCAGUCAGUCAUCUUCGGCUGCUUUCGUCCCGGAGUAAGUGGAGGCCUCGCCCUUCCGGUUGUCCCCUGGUUUCCGUCCUUCUCGAGCCCUCUGCUUUGGGAGACCCCUUCCCCGGUGGUCGGGGCCGAGGUCCCUUAACCCCAGGCCGGCUGCCGCAGAAUGAGGGCUCUUCUUGCUUUGGCCUCGAUUUAAACAGAAGCUGCCUGGCCUUAUGUAUCCCUGGGGCGGCUCCUUGCAAACCUUCCCUCGUGAAGCACACUAUUACUCGGCACAGCAUGCGGAGCAGGAGGAAUUAGAAGCUCGCCGUCCAGUGGCAGCACGGAGUCUUAACCCCUGGACCACCAGAGAAGUCCAGAAUCCUGUUUUCAUAAUCUGUCAAAACGGAGCGAAAUACCCACCUUUCAGGAUCGUUGUGGGACCCUGUGGAAAACACCCCCGUCUAGUGAACACCCAAGACUGCCACAGUCCCUCAAAGGAACUGGAUGUUGUGCGUGCAUAUACUCCCCAUACGGUAGAUGAAGACCAGGUGAUCACAGAGAUGAAGCAUGAAGCCCAGGCAGGCGAAGACUCGGGAACCCGGUGUGCCGGCUCAGCUGAGGACAGCAGUGAAGCCUCUGCUCUGAGGAUCCCAUCCUGGAUCCCAUGUUACCUUUAGUCAUCCUGUCUCCUUGGGCUUCUCUUGGCUGUGACAGUGUUUCAGACUUGCCUUGUUUUUGAUGGCCUUGACAAUUGGGAGGGAUUUUGCAGAAUGUUCCUUAAUUGGGAUUUGUCUGAUGUUUUUCUCAUGAUUGGGCUGGGGUUAUGGGUUUUGGGGAGGAAGAUCACAGAGGUGAAGUCCCAUGUUCAUUACAUGUCAAGGGUAUGUUCUGUCACUAUGACCUAUGAUGUUGGUGUUGACCUUGAUCACCUGGCCGAGGCGGUGUUUGUAGCUGUGAAGUUCCUCUUCCUUUCAGUACUUACAGUACUUGAGUUAUGCUUUGGGCACUAGGAGGAGAAGCAGCUGGUGACUCUCCGGGGACUAGGGAGAGGGAGAGAGGGCAGAGCAGGGUGAUGGCAGGUCUCGUGGAACAGAAAGGGAAUUUGCACCUAGCCAGGAGGAGAAGCGGAUGGCCUUCCAGGCAGGCUUGACGCAAGAGAAGAGAGACUAGGUCCAGGGUGCGGGCGAGAGCAGCCGCUCAGCCGGGCUCAGCUGUAGGAGGGCGUCAAGGAAUUCCCUGGAGAGCCGGGCGAGAGGCGCUUCAGCCCUGGACUCCUGUCUCAUUUUCGUGGACUUCAUCUCCCAACAAAGUGAGCUGCAAUCAUCACAGAGACACGCCCACGGAACUGAAAGAAGUCGCUGCUGUUCGUCUGUAAACUCCCCCCUAUCUCCCCACUAGACCGCUUUGCCUGAGAGUUCAGGAUACGUGAACGUUUGUUAUAAAUCCUGAAAUUAUUCUGCGGAUCAGCGCCGUUAGAUUGCACUAUCCUUGGGGGUCGAAAGUGUAAACUUUGCAAGUAAAUGUUUAAAAUAGACCACAAGUUCCAUAACCCUGCUUGGGGAAUUUCUUCAUUUUAUAAAAUAUAUGUACCAGUAAUCUCAAAAGAUGGAAGUGGCCUGGGCCUUCUUAUGUGACCUCAGAGAGACCCUGCAUCCUUCAACUUCAGGAGACUGGUGAGGAAAGGGGACUGGGGGGCCAGCUGGACCACGGCAGAGCUGGACUCAGUGGUCAAAUCCUGUGUUUACGUUUGUCUGUCUGCCCAGAGUGUGAGCUAAACGGGUGACACAGAAUCUGGAUAGUGGAUCUGAGGGACUUUGGUCACAAUUCUUUUUCUUUUUGGCUCCGCCAUGUGACUUGUAGGAUCUUAGUUCCGCGACCAGGGAUUGAACCUGCGCCACGGAAUCGACAGCGCGGAGCCCUAACAAUUGGGCUGCCAGGGAAUUCCCGAGAUGCUUUGGUUUGAAGUGGCAUCUGUGGUUUUCAGUGCAGCUCCUAGCGUCUGUCACUGUGCCUGGCGUUACACAGUCAGAGAGAAAUACCUGUGGAGGUCUGGGGGUCUAGGAGGUGUGCGUUCAAUGCAGAUACCCCUAGGAUAGGAAAUGACUUUAGUUGUUGGCAACUAACACAGCAGUGGAGGGCAAUCAGCUUCUUGAGAAGAGCACGGUCCUGUGAGAGUGGGACCCAGGACAGAAGUGUGGAGAAGUGCGGAGGGCAGGGCUUCGAGAGCAGGGGUAGGGGAGGCACGGCGGGGCGUGGUGGUGGAAGGGAGGCGCCAAGCGCCUUCACAGGCCUGUGGGAAGCGGCCCUGGUGACAUCCUGUUUAUAGCCGAGUGACCUCAGAUGAGUCACCCCCGGGAUUCAGUUUCCCCACUUCUGUGUGACAUGGGGAAGGUCAGCUGGUCGGGAGGGGACUCUUUUCCUCAUCUUCCCGUCACACACUUGGCGCCGCCACCGCGGCCGCCAUCGGCUAGCGGAAUGCACCGCGCGCAGGAGCGCAGGGGACUCUGGGCUGAGGGCUUGGGAUCCAUUACACCUGACCUCACUCUCACAACCCUGGGACACGGGUGCUGUUCCCGCCUUGGCUUUACCGAUGGGGAAACUGAGCCUUCCAGAAAUUGAAUAACACACCCAAUGUCACGCGCCAGGGAUGCGUGGGUGAAGGGUCGCCACAGCUGGGUCAAUCCUGGUCAGGGGUGCGCACACUUUUCUACAAAAAGUAACUAUUUUAGGCUUUGUGGGUGACAUCGAGUCUUCUGUCCUCCUCCUCCCUCUCUCUCUUUCUUCAUCCGUUU